rnacentral:lncRNA from 10 species
GUGCUCUGAGGAUCAGCAAGAGUGAGGCUGGGCCAAGAAGCCCCCAAACUCCAGCCCCUGUCUCCAUGGCCCAGAGACUCAUUCUGUGAGAGUUUCUCUGCAAAGAUGGCUGCCAACAAUUCCUCCCAUCUCUGCAUGCACAUGCCUUCCUCCCUUCAACAGGUGGGGUCUUUUUCCCCGUAUCCUUGAAUCUGGGCUGCCUGACUUGAUUUGACCAAUGGAAUGUGGCAGGAGGGAUGUCUUGAGAUUACUGAGCUCAGACCUGAAGGGACCUUGUAGCUUCCGCAUCAGCUCAGAGAAAAACAAAUUGACGUGUAAAUCAGUCCAAGUCACCCUGCAGGAGGAGCGGCCACGUGGAGAUAGAGGCCAGGAGAGUGAAAACUGAGGCUCCAGCCAACAUCAUAGGUGAGACUUCCAAAGGAACAAAUUUAUUUCUUUAAGUGUAAAUGGACUCUCCCACAAAGAUGCUGCUAUGUCAUUUCAUACAUUCUUUUUUAACUUCAUCAAACAAAGUACAGUUCUCUGGCGCUAAUGUCAAUCUCCACAGCUCAUUGGGUUUUUAAAAAUAGUGGAGACACAGAUUUCAUCUCCCAGCCUCAGUGAGGAAGGCAGCACUCUAGCCAGCGAGAGGAACCCUUCGCU